rnacentral:lncRNA from 10 species
AUUCCUUCCCUCUUCCCUGCUCCCACAAGACCUCAGACUUCCAGCUGUUUCCUUCAAGAUGCAUGAAAAGAUGAAAAGCUCUGACAACCUCAGGAAGACUCUGACUCAGCUGCAGCCACAUCUGGCUUGAAAUUCUACUGGAAACCCAUGGAGUUCGGGGCUCCACACGGCGACUCUCAUGAUCAUAGAACACGAACAGCUGGUCAUCCACGUAGCCCAAAGCUUCAAACAAGGAAAGACCAAGGUCCUGCUCUGAGGCACCCAUGAAGAGGUAGUGCAGAGAGUGUGAACCUGGAGACAGAGCAACAGGCCUUAACCAUGUGUAGUAGGAGGGGAGCAGGAUGUUGAGGCUCCACACACCUGCAUCAACUCAUACCAUCAGCUGUGUCUGGUCCUCAUUUUGUGAAGGGCAAAAGAACAAUUGCCAAGAGUGGGGAAAGGCCCGAGGUAGGCCUCUCUCAGGAGCCUCCCACCCUAGAGACCUCCACCCCAGGUCUCACCAAAAGUGGGUGGAAUGGUGAAGAAUUCAGAUCCCCAACGCCACUCUUUCGCGCCCCCACCGCCCAACGCAUUCGUUCUGAGGUGGAAACCCCGUGCGGAUCCUGCUGUGGGUUUGCUCAGCCUUCUCGGCAAGCACUCAGGGAAGAACUUCCUGUUUGGAGAUGACUGGGGAAAAAACUGCACAGCUGACAUUGGAAAUAAACCCGAGUUCCAGGUUCAAGGAGCCCCAGGCUUAGCUCAGCUCAAGUGAGGAACUACGAGAUUUAUUUAAAAGCAUUCUAGUUGGGGGAAGGGAGUGGGCGGUUCCAAAAGUCACUCCGCAGAGCCGGGACAGCCGGGGGAGGGGGCAGGUCCUGGGGCGAGGGACCCCUAUCUGCAGUUCAGUGGUAGGCACUCCCUCACGGGGUCUGGACGCAGAAAGUAGGGAGAGGGGCUUGCGGAUAGGGUUGAGCAGGUCCUCCAAAGUUAGCAAACUCCCAAGCGCAAAGAAAAAGCUAGUUUCGAUUUUUCCACCCCCGCCGCGCCCCUAGUUCGCCCGCAGCCCUCGGACUCACGCAGCAAGCGCCCCUGCAGGACCGCGGUCUGCAAAAGCAUCAGGAGGAGAAGCGCCGGCCUGGCUCGCGGGCCCAUUUCCCCAGCUCUGGCCGCACGUCCCCGUUAAAUCUCCGCUUCUUUUGGGGGGCGGGGAAACGGGGAUGGCUCCAGAAGUCACCCUACAGCUAUUGCCUAGGCUCAGGAGAUGCCCAGUAAAACUUCCUGGUGAAAAGCAACAGGUCUUUCAGAACUUUAGUUCUCUCUCUCCUACAGCAGAAGGUACCUGCUUGUGAAACACUAGGUGAUCCAGUGUCCCCCUUGGUUUUUAAAUCCUGAAGGGGUGUUGUUGAUUGGGGAAAGUAGCUUCGCAAUGUUCUGAUCUGAACUUUAGAUAUUUAAAUAUUUAUGAUUUUCAAAAUUCAAUCAUACAUUUAAAAAUUUUAUCUCAACCUUAGACCAACUUAUGUCUUAUUUGACUUAGAAAUAUAAAGCUUUUUCAUUUUGUUUUUUGAUUCAAAUUAAUUAAGUCAUAACAUUAACCAAUUAGAUCCUACUGAAACACCUUCCACAGCCUUCAUAAUUGAAUUAUCUGACAAGUGUUUCACAAACUUUACAGUAUUGGGAUUAUCUGGAGAAUGAUUAAACAUAUUGAGGCCUGCUCCUAACCCCAGACACACUGAUUUAAUGGGUAAUUGUUAGGUAGUUAGACAUUAGCAGUUGGGAGGGGAUGACAGAAGAGAGCGGAAAGGCUGUCACUAAGACAGCCACUGGCCCACCUAAAUUCAGGCCCAAGACUACCCUAAUGCCACCCUAAGGGAUGGAGUUUAUGAUAAAGUCUGUGGCCAAAAUAUCCUGGAGAAAGAGAAAGGAGGGUACAGGUGGAAAUUCCCUAAGGUGGCACAUGCCCAACAACACAAAAGCCUGUCUUCAAGUUCACCCCAAGUUCAUCAUGCCAUCAUUAUAAUAGAAUUUACAUACAGUUUUGCCCCCCCAUCCCUGGGAGGCUUUUCUUAACAAAUUAUAGGUAAGACCAUGCACAGUUUAAUUUUAGAUUGUAUAGCUAUACACUUCAAUCAAAUAACAUCAUCCUGUCACUCAGAUACAGCCCAAACCUCAACUCCUCCCCACAAACCCCAUAAAAGCACCUUGAGCUCUGUAAAGAAGUGCUGAGUUCACUUCGCAGAAAUAAGCCCGCUGUCCCUCAGAGUGUAUUAUUGUGCUUCAAUAAACUUUGCUUUAAGCUUGCAUUUUGGUGUUAGUUUGUAGUUCUUUGCUCACUAUCACAAGAACUGAGAUUGCUGGUUCAGAGCUCCGGCUAUAAUAAUCUCCUCGGUUAAAGGAUCCAUCCCAAUGCAUAAUUCCCAGUAACAGUAUGGGAUGCCACCUGGGCAAUGGGAUUUUAAAAGCUUUCCUUCUCCCUCAACGAAGUUUGGGAAUUAUUGCCUUAGACAUUUCAAACAAUAUUAAUAAAUUUAAUACACCUGAUUUGCUCCAAACCUUUACAUAUCUAGCAAAUUCAACAGGCAUUAUUUUUGUAAGCAUGUAUGCAAAUUUUGGCAAUUCAAGAAAAUCAAACAGGAUAUCAGGGCCUCGACUGUAGGCAAACAGAUACAAUAACAUUGGAAACAUGUAGAAUAUUGAUGAUGGG